rnacentral:rRNA from 1 species
UACGUAGGGUGCAAGCGUUGUCCGGAAUUAUUGGGCGUAAAGAGCUCGUAGGCGGCUUGUCACGUCGGGUGUGAAAGCCCGGGGCUUAACCCCGGGUCUGCAUUCGAUACGGGCUAGCUAGAGUGUGGUAGGGGAGAUCGGAAUUCCUGGUGUAGCGGUGAAAUGCGCAGAUAUCAGGAGGAACACCGGUGGCGAAGGCGGAUCUCUGGGCCGAUACUGACGCUGAGGAGCGAAAGCGUGGGGAGCGAACAGG